CCUGUGGAACCUGAAGCCUGGAAUUCCGCUCCUGGUGAUGCCCACAUCCCUGUCCUGGUUUUGCCAAGUGCCCAGCGGUGAGGGAUGUGAGUUACCAUCUAGUGUCAUUUCCUGAGUUCAACGCACUUUGCUGCCACCUACCAUGUCCUGUUAUUGUCAGGAGAUCCUUUUCAUGAUCAUUGAACUCUGCCUUUGAAACUCAGCCUCUAAAGUGGAUAGCAGAGCAAGGCUGAUAACAGAGGAUGGGCGUC